ensembl:lincRNA
CCCGCAUGCCAGGCUUCCUGUUCCCUCACUGGCAGGUGAAGUGCAUCAAACCUAGUGCUCUUAGAAGCCAAGGGAUUGGUUCACAGUGUGCUUCAUGGAGUGGAGCUGCUGGGCUGCUGUUCUUUUUGCUGGUCCCAGGCUCAGGGCCUCUGAUCAAUUCCCAUUUUUCCUGCAUCCCUUGCCCAUGAUGGUCUCAACUUAGUGGCAGCUCUUUGGAAAAGAACAAGCUCCCUGCCCCACCUCGUGGUUAGCCUGCUUACCUCCUUCUCUGUCUUCCAUGAGGUCUCCAGAAGUCUCCAGUGUUUUCCAGCUGGGAACUGUGGGGUCCAAACAAGCUGAAAGGCCCUGUGCCCCUAUGGCUCACCAGGAUCCAGACCUUGAAGGGUGAUGACCACAAUCCCACCUGGAAAUUUCAGUUUGACAUCUAACCUCUCCUCCUCUGAUGUUCCUGACUUCGUUUUAGACGCCUUUAAUUGAAAACCCAGAGCUUAGCCACCUAUUUCUUGAUCCUGAUGAGAGCCUGAAACCAUCCUGAGCCUGUGUUCAUCAUCAUCCAGUAUAAGCCAAGCAAAGUAACAACCACUUUCUGGAAAAAGAGGUGACCUUAUCUACCAUCUAUGUACUUUGGUCUGCUUAAGGCAACAUGGAUGCCAAGAGAUGGACCUAAACCUCUCCCUGAUCAGCAGCUCGCAGACUCCUGUUCCCUGUGCAGCCGACGUCUCUGCUGUCCCCACCCCCACCCUGCAGUCCCGCGGCCAACAGCGUCUCCUCAGCGCGACACUCAGCGGCCGCCAUCUUCCCCGCAGACAUCACUGCAGGACGAUCCCUGUCUGGCACGUCUCUCCUGCCAUGUCUGCCACAGAGGAGCACGACUGGAUCCCGGGUGGCCCGGAUAGAGCUGGUGGCGGGGCGGGCCGCGACCCCAGUCUCCUUGGGGUCCAAGCAUCUGCUUCGGAGGGGAUGGAAGGAGUCGAGGAGGCCACGGCUCUUCUGGCCUCCUUGGAGGUCUCCAGAGCCCGUCCCGAGGAGCAGGGUUGGCCUCAGGCCGCAGUGGGAGAGGAGUGUGGUAGAGAGCCGUUAGAGGAGGAGAAGAUGGAGGAAGAUGUAGAGGCGAUGGAGGAGGACGAGGAAGAGGGGGAGAUUGAUUUCGAUGUGGAAGUCGUGGAGGAGGAGGCGCCUCUGUCUGGAGAGGGAGAGGAAGAGGAGGAUGAGAAUGAGCAGGAGGGUGCGGCAGCGGUUACAGGCCUUGGGUUCUCUAUGGAGACGUUUGGGCCCCUGUUCUGGAGUCACGUGGACUCCUUUCUACACAAUAUCCGUAACAACAAACAUCUCCUGUUCCGGCCUCCCACCGACCACCUGAUGGCCGGGGGCUGCUCCCCACCACCCUCGGACCCUGGAGAAGGUCCGGUGCCUCCUCAGGAGCGGGAAGACCUGGGAGAGGGAGACAGAGGCUUGCAGGGUGAGUACCCGGUGGAGGGCGCUCCACCCUGGGAGCUGCGGGAUCUUGUGGAGGGGUUUGCAUCCUAGAAGACACAGGAACCACCAGUGGAGGCCGAGUUCUGGGCGAGGAAGCCCUGACUGCUGCCUCUGAGACUGGGAGGUUGAGGCCUGUGGUCCCGGAGGGGCUGAGGCAGGCAAGUGGUGGCUGAGCCUUCAGGCCCUUGUGGGGCCAUUGAGCUCAAAGGCAGGUCUCUAGCAGUCACGCAGUGGGUCAAAACUCUCAAAAACCUCCAGGCACAAUUAGCACAAGUGGAAGCCCAGUUCUAUAGACCUUCAUGGUCUCGAGAAAAAGCAUGCUGCCUUCUACCAACCUAGAGGCAAACAAGUGGCAUCCCUCCCUUUCGGUUAACGGCUUUAAAAAAUGUGAAUAUUCUCGGUAGGAGGAUCCGAGAAAAUGAUGACAUAGCACAGGGGCACUUUUCAGUGAUUGAGGAAUCUGUGAGCGUCCCCAUAGAGUUUGCCUUUAAAUCGAACGAACAUUUUUUUUCCAUUGAGGUUCCGAAAAACACAGAGAAAAUGGUAUCAGUAUCAAAUGAUUUGGAUCCGUUCUCCAAAGGGGCCAGAAAUAAUCAAAGAGAUCUGUGUCAGAUCUACUGGAAAGAGGGGAAAAACGUUUGUGAAAAUCGUCAAGCAGCAGACAUGAUGGGGGGUAGAAGUGUAUCCAGGUAUUAUUUGUUUUUUCUUUUGUUAAACCUAUUUCUCUUCUCUCAGGCCUAGACUCUGCUGCUGAUUUUCAGUUGGGAUAUUUUCCCUGCCAACUUUUGACCCCAAUGUCUGCGUCAUUCUGCCCUAAUGAUGAGGGUGAGGAUCAGUAUGAAAAGGCUGAUGAAGAGGAAGAGGAUGAAAAUGAAAAACCUGAAGGACUCUAAAUGGAUGUGGUCUCAGCAAAGAGCAGCUCUGGAUAAUACAGGUAUUAUUGCAUAGGCUUUAGUAUGACAUAACCAUUCCUGACACAUACGUCUUACUAACAGCUUUAUAGUUUUAAAUUUUUCUUCUGUAAAGUAAAUAAGAAAAUGGUUGAAAUUAAAUUUUGGAAAAAAAGUUUAUUGUUAAUAAUGUAUUCUAGAUAAUGUAGGAGGCAGUAUGUUCUGAAAUGUAUUUCAUUUAUAGCCACAAGUCCUUUGUCCUGUAGCUUUAGUGGAGACCAGUGCUUCUUUAGAAAAUAGUCACCAGAAGCAGCAGCUAAAGUGACUAGGUCGUGCAUUAGCUGUGUUAUCAUCGCCUGGCCACAGAAUUUUAGUCUCUUGUACUGAUGAUGACUUUAAGAAAGUGAUUCCUUACAAAGUAGUAAGAUGUUAAGGGUUUCAAGAGAACUGCAUUUCAGGAUUAAUUCACAAAUAUUAGUUCAAGUUAGAUUUUUUUAUUCAAAAGAAAAGAAAACUAGUCUUAGUAAUAUUGGUUAUCCCUGAGUUGGUAAUUAAAUCUCUGUUUCUCUUUCCUCUAUUCACUCAUCUUUUAGUCUCUCUCAGUCACUCUCUCACUCUUUCUUAGUUUUCAUGCAUGUGGAUGUUUGACAAAGCCUCAUUCUCAUUUUACACAUGUGGAAACUGAAGGUCUGGAAAUAUAAGGGAUUUAUGAUUUGUGCAAGGGAACACCAGUUUUUAAGGUGGAAUGACUUAUUUAAAUCACAGUGUGGCCUUUCAAGGAAACAGCAAGCGUUAAUAGUGUUGGGCAAGAGGGAGAUAAUUUUUGCGUGAGAAAUGAUGUGCACUGUGAUUACCAAGGGUUUGGGUUACAAGAAGAAAACAUUUUGUUUUCUCCUUGUUGAGAAAAUAGAUGUACAUAGUAUUGACUCAUAUUUAGAAAGUCACUGGUGCAUGUUAUUGAGGUACAAUUGUUAACUGGCUCUUAUUUCAUCCUACAGUGAGAAGGCAUAAAAAGAAGCAGAUAGAAAAAGAUGAAUUUGUUCUUCAUGGAUAUUCUUGUUUUCAUUAGCCUGAAAUACUAAUUUUGUUUCAAAGUUUCAACCCCCCAAAAUGAUAUUAACUACUGACAUCUGACUUUACUCUUACCUUUUAACAGAUAAUUUGAUAGUAUUGUUCACAUUGGAAAUAAAAGCUUGUUUGGAAG